rnacentral:rRNA from 1 species
UACGUAGGGUGCAAGCGUUAAUCGGAAUUACUGGGCGUAAAGCGUGCGCAGGCGGUUAUGUAAGACAGAUGUGAAAUGCCCGGGCUUAACCUGGGAACUGCAUUUGUGACUGCAUGGCUAGAGUUUGGCAGAGGGGGGGUAGAAUUCCACGUGUAGCAGUGAAAUGCGCAGAUAUCAGGAGGAACACCAAUGGCGAAGGCAGCUCGCUGGGGACGGUACUGACGCUGAGGCGCGAAAGCGUGGGGGAGCAAACAGG